AACGAACGCUGGCGGCAGGCUUAACACAUGCAAGUCGAACGCCCCGCAAGGGGAGUGGCAGACGGGUGAGUAACGCGUGGGAACCUACCCAAUUCUACGGAACAACUGAGGGAAACUUCA
rnacentral:rRNA from 1 species